UACGAAGGGUGCAAGCGUUGCUCGGAAUUAUUGGGCGUAAAGGGUAGGUAGGUGGUUACGUAUGUCUGGGGUGAAAUCCCUGAGCUCAACUCAGGAAGUGCCUUGGAAACGGCGUAACUAGAGUGCUAGAGAGGUUCGUAGGAUUCCCAGUGUAGCGGUGAAAUGCGUAGAGAUUGGGAGGAAUACCAGAGGCGAAGGCGGCGAACUGGAUAGCAACUGACACUAAACUACGAAAGCGUGGGGAGCAAACAGG
rnacentral:rRNA from 1 species